rnacentral:rRNA from 1 species
GAUGAACGCUGGCGGCGUGCCUAAUACAUGCAAGUCGAGCGAACGGACGAGAAGCUUGCUUUUCUGAUGUUAGCGGCGGACGGGUGAGUAACACGUGGAUAACCUACCUAUAAGACUGGGAUAACUUCGGGAAACCGGAGCUAAUACCGGAUAAUAUUUUGAACCGCAUGGUUCAAAAGUGAAAGACGGUCUUGCUGUCACUUAUAGAUGGAUCCGCGCUGCAUUAGCUAGUUGGUAAGGUAACGGCUUACCAAGGCAACGAUGCAUAGCCGACCUGAGAGGGUGAUCGGCCACACUGGAACUGAGACACGGUCCAGACUCCUACGGGAGGCAGCAGUAGGGAAUCUUCCGCAAUGGGCGAAAGCCUGACGGAGCAACGCCGCGUGAGUGAUGAAGGUCUUCGGAUCGUAAAACUCUGUUAUUAGGGAAGAACAUAUGUGUAAGUAACUGUGCACAUCUUGACGGUACCUAAUCAGAAAGCCACGGCUAACUACGUGCCAGCAGCCGCGGUAAUACGUAGGUGGCAAGCGUUAUCCGGAAUUAUUGGGCGUAAAGCGCGCGUAGGCGGUUUUUUAAGUCUGAUGUGAAAGCCCACGGCUCAACCGUGGAGGGUCAUUGGAAACUGGAAAACUUGAGUGCAGAAGAGGAAAGUGGAAUUCCAUGUGUAGCGGUGAAAUGCGCAGAGAUAUGGAGGAACACCAGUGGCGAAGGCGACUUUCUGGUCUGUAACUGACGCUGAUGUGCGAAAGCGUGGGGAUCAAACAGGAUUAGAUACCCUGGUAGUCCACGCCGUAAACGAUGAGUGCUAAGUGUUAGGGGGUUUCCGCCCCUUAGUGCUGCAGCUAACGCAUUAAGCACUCCGCCUGGGGAGUACGACCGCAAGGUUGAAACUCAAAGGAAUUGACGGGGACCCGCACAAGCGGUGGAGCAUGUGGUUUAAUUCGAAGCAACGCGAAGAACCUUACCAAAUCUUGACAUCCUUUGACAACUCUAGAGAUAGAGCCUUCCCCUUCGGGGGACAAAGUGACAGGUGGGGCAUGGUUGUCGUCAGCUCGUGUCGUGAGAUGUUGGGUUAAGUCCCGCAACGAGCGCAACCCUUAAGCUUAGUUGCCAUCAUUAAGUUGGGCACUCUAAGUUGACUGCCGGUGACAAACCGGAGGAAGGUGGGGAUGACGUCAAAUCAUCAUGCCCCUUAUGAUUUGGGCUACACACGUGCUACAAUGGACAAUACAAAGGGCAGCGAAACCGCGAGGUCAAGCAAAUCCCAUAAAGUUGUUCUCAGUUCGGAUUGUAGUCUGCAACUCGACUACAUGAAGCUGGAAUCGCUAGUAAUCGUAGAUCAGCAUGCUACGGUGAAUACGUUCCCGGGUCU